AUGCACGCUGGCGGCGUGCCUAAUACCUGCAAGUCGAGCGAACAGACGAGGAGCUUGCUCCUCUGACGUUAGCGGCGGACGGGUGAGUAACACGUGGAUAACCUACCUAUAAGACUGGGAUAACUUCGGGAAACCGGAGCUAAUACCGGAUAAUAUAUUGAACCGCAUGGUUCAAUAGUGAAAGACGGUUUUGCUUUCACUUAUAGAUGGAUCCGCGCCGCAUUAGCUAGUUGGUAAGGUAACGGCUUACCAAGGCAACGAUGCGUAGCCGACCUGAGAGGGUGAUCGGCCACACUGGAACUGAGACACGGUCCAGACUCCUACGGGAGGCAGCAGUAGGGAAUCUUCCGCAAUGGGCGAAAGCCUGACGGAGCAACGCCGCGUGAGUGAUGAAGGUCUUCGGAUCGUAAAACUCUGUUAUUAGGGAAGAACAAAUGUGUAAGUAACUAUGCACGUCUUGACGGUACCUAAUCAGAAAGCCACGGCUAACUACGUG
rnacentral:rRNA from 1 species